AGGCAGUGACAAGAAAUAACAACUCUAGGAUUUCUUAGAAGUGUAAUGAGGAUAAUUUACAAACCUUACCGAAUGCAAUUGGAGGGCAAGUCUGGUGCCAGCAGCCGCGGUAAUUCCAGCUCCAAUAGCGUAUAUUAAAGUUGUUGCAGUUAAAAAGCUCGUAGUUGAAGUUCUGAUUGCUCAGGUUUCCAGCCUUAGGCGGAGAUACUGACAGUCAUCCGCUUGCAAACAUAUGUUCGAUCUUCACCGGUUGGCUAUGUGAGUAAGCACUUUACCUUGAGAAAAACAGAGUGUUCCAGGCAGGUUUGUCCGGGAUGCAUUAGCAUGGAAUAAUAGAACAUGACUGAAGUCGAUUUAUUGGUUUAAGGCUUUAGUAAUGAUUAAUAGGAACAGUCGGGGGC
rnacentral:rRNA from 1 species